AUGGCGAUGAAGUACUUGCAACCUGCUGAGCACCAUCCCAGGAACCUGACUCCAGUGCUCUCUAAUCCCCGAAGCAGUGCCUGGGGCGCAGGACAUGAGGGUCAUCCUGUAAAAUGGGAAGGCAAUGGGGCCUGUCGCCCUUGGAAGUUCCGCCUCAUUUCCUGGCACCGGGGGAGUGAUCCCAGUGUGCCGUGGCCCAGCCCUGGAUUAGCCCCAUUAGCAAAUCAGGUGCAGAGAAGGCCCAGCCUUCCAGCAGCAGCCUCCCUGCUUCAUCACAUUCCCUCCCUCAGCGACGCCUAUAAGGGCUGGUUUCCACACCUGUCAGGGACAGGCCCUGUGGGCGCAGAUGGCUGUGGUGCCUCCCUCGGGGGCUGUGGGCCUCCAGGACGGUGUGGACAGGCCCUGAGGACAUCCGAAGGCCUCUCAAGAGAUGGUGAUGGCAAAACUCUGUACUUAAGAGUUUUCGAAAGGAAGAAUUCCUGCCAGGCAUAA
rnacentral:lncRNA from 1 species